CCUACGGGAGGCAGCAGUGAGGAAUAUUGGUCAAUGGACGGAAGUCUGAACCAGCCAUGCCGCGUGCAGGAAGACGGCUCUAUGAGUUGUAAACUGCUUUUGCACAAGGGUAAACCUGAAUAAGGGUAUUCAGCUGAAAGUACUGUACGAAUAAGGAUCGGCUAACUCCGUGCCAGCAGCCGAGGUAAUACGGAGGAUCCAAGCGUUAUCCGGAUUUAUUGGGUUUAAAGGGUACGUAGGCGGAUUGAUAAGUUAGAGGUGAAAUGUCCGCGCUUAACUCGGGAACUGCCUCUGAUACUGGUGAGCUAGAGAGUAGAUGCGGUAGGCGGAAUGUAUGGUGUAGCGGUGAAAUGCUUAGAGAUCAUACAGAACACCGAUGGCGAAGGCAGCUUACCAAUCUAUGUCUGACGUUGAGGCACGAAAGCGUGGGGAGCAAACAGGAUUAGAUACCCGAGUAGUC
rnacentral:rRNA from 1 species